rnacentral:rRNA from 1 species
UGCAAAACCGUAGAGGUGGAGCGAACCCCUAAAAGACCGUCCCAGUUCAGAUCGCAGUCUGCAACUCGACUGCGUGAAGUCGGAAUCGCUAGUAAUCGCGGAUCAGCAUGCCGCGGUGAAUACGUUCCCGGGCCUUGUACACACCGCCCGUCACACCAUGAGAGUCGGGAACACCCGAAGCCCGUAGCCUAACUUGCAAGAGGGGGCGCGGUCGAAGGUGGGUUCGAUAAUUGGGGUGAAGUCGUAACAAGGUAUC